rnacentral:tRNA from 1 species
GCCAAAAUAGCUCAGCUGGUAGAGCAACUGACUUGUAAUCAGUAGGUCGCGGGUUCGACUCCUGUUUUUGGCA